UUUUAUUUUUUCUUUUUAGGAUGUAUUUUAAGCGUCACCAAAACACUUCCUGCACUAUUAGAAUACAACGACGCCGCACAUUGGGAACUUCCUAAAGAUGUGGUAAUAGAUGUAGUGAUAGAAAAUCAUACAAGCAAACAUUACGACAACCCCAGUUUCGUCGCUUCAGUCACAGAUGGCGCCACAGCAGAACCUGAGUAGCCAUUGUAUAAUAUAAAAUUGUUCAGUGAAAAUUACUGUUUCUGUAAAUAGUAUUUAUAGUUAUAAGAACAUUAUCAGUCGUUCUUUACAAAUCUGUUUUUGUUAAAAUUAUAUUUAUAUUUAUGUCUACCUUUUAAUUUUUUUGCAACCGAUAAGAAGUUAUCUAGACAUCUAACGGACGAAAAAAACUUAAUGGAUAUCUUUAUGUUAAAUAAUGUACAAACUACACUGCCAAGCAUAAAAUUAGGGUCAACACGUAAUUUGAAUUUAUUUUAUUGAAUCAAAAGAAAGGACCCCGCAGAACUCCUUAUGGAUAAGUUGACCCGGUCAAAUUUAACGAAAGUUCGGUCAAUGAUAGUUUUCAGUGCGGAGUGCGUAGAUUAAAAAAGUCCGUGGGACCUAGGUCUAAGAAACUAUUAUUCUGAAACUACAGCCUUCUGAAGUUAUUGGAUUCAGGUUCUCGAUUUACGUUAAGUGCACUAAUUCAUGGUGAAGUGAACGAAAAUUUAUUGUUAAAAGAAGAAGGACUGAUUGUCUUCAUGCAUAUUGGCUGUUGCAUAUGAAUUCGUAAUAAAAAAAAUGCAUCGUAUUUUAGUCUUCAGACAACAUCCGAAAAGUCCUCAGAAAACUGAAGAAGUGCGAUAGAAAAUGUGCUGCUAGAGUGACAUAAGAAUUAGGUAUCAUGUUAUAAUGAAUGCUUCACAGUUACCCAAUACAUGCAUAGCUGCAGCUGCUCCUUUGAGGACUCUAGGACACUAUAAAGGUUAUACGGUUAUGCAUAACUUAGUCUUAUGACAAUGCCAGUAAAUUUGAAAUUUUGAUUUCUGGGAAAUAAUAUUAGAGCGUUUCGAUAAGACAAAUAAAAUACUUCAAAGCGUUGAUACCAACACUGAAGGCGCAACUACCCUUUUUUAUCUUUGAUAAAGUCGUUUUUCCUAACGUCGAACAGUUUGCUCGGUAGAGCGUUCCUUUUCAACACUUAAACUGUUAAAAACAUACUUAAGAUCAAGCAUGGAGCAAUACAGACUGAAUUUCUUGACAAUAUUGACAAUAGAAUCUGAUUUGACAACAACCUUAGAUUUUGAUAUGAUUUUCAAAUCAUUUGCAUGCAUGAAAUCUCGACGAAAGGUAAUGUAAUUAUGAUACUGAUCUACAUGUAUGUUUUGAAUAAAAAUCUAGUUUUUGGA
rnacentral:lncRNA from 1 species